rnacentral:rRNA from 1 species
UGAGGAAUAUUGGUCAAUGGACGCAAGUCUGAACCAGCCAUGCCGCGUGAAGGAUGAAGGCGUUCUGCGUUGUAAACUUCUUUUAUCUGGGAAGAAACCUGAGUAUUCUUAUUCAGCCGACGGUACCAGAGGAAUAAGCACCGGCUAACUCCGUGCCAGCAGCCGCGGUAAUACGGAGGGUGCAAGCGUUAUCCGGAUUUACUGGGUUUAAAGGGUGUGUAGGCGGACUUUUAAGUCCGUGGUGAAAUCUCCGGGCUCAACCCGGAAACUGCCAUGGAUACUAUUGGUCUUGAAUGUUGUGGAGGUGGGCGGAACGGGUCAUGUAGCGGUGAAAUGCUUAGAGAUGACCCGGAACACCGAUUGCGAAGGCAGCCCACUACGCAACUAUUGACGCUGAGGCACGAAAGCGUGGGGAUCAAACAGG